rnacentral:rRNA from 1 species
ACGGGUGAGUAAUGUCUGGGGAUCUGCCCGAUAGAGGGGGAUAACCACUGGAAACGGUGGCUAAUACCGCAUAACGUCGCAAGACCAAAGAGGGGGACCUUCGGGCCUCUCACUAUCGGAUGAACCCAGAUGGGAUUAGCUAGUAGGCGGGGUAAUGGCCCACCUAGGCGACGAUCCCUAGCUGGUCUGAGAGGAUGACCAGCCACACUGGAACUGAGACACGGUCCAGACUCCUACGGGAGGCAGCAGUGGGGAAUAUUGCACAAUGGGCGCAAGCCUGAUGCAGCCAUGCCGCGUGUAUGAAGAAGGCCUUCGGGUUGUAAAGUACUUUCAGCGGGGAGGAAGGCGAUGUGGUUAAUAACCGCAUUGAUUGACGUUACCCGCAGAAGAAGCACCGGCUAACUCCGUGCCAGCAGCCGCGGUAAUACGGAGGGUGCAAGCGUUAAUCGGAAUUACUGGGCGUAAAGCGCACGCAGGCGGUCUGUUAAGUCAGAUGUGAAAUCCCCGGGCUUAUCCUGGGAACUGCAUUUGAAACUGGCAGGCUUGAGUCUCGUAGAGGGGGGUAGAAUUCCAGGUGU